rfam:Triticum aestivum genome assembly, contig: Triticum_aestivum_CS42_TGACv1_scaffold_288682_4AL
UACGUACUUCCUCCGUUUCAAAUUACUCGUCGCAGAAAUGGAUGUAAUCUAGAACUAAAAUACAUCUAGAUACAUCCAUACCUGCGACAAGUUAUUCGGAACGGAGGGAGUAUAAU